UUAUUGCACGGUACAGUGGUGGACUGCGUCAACAGUGUAGAAGGAAGUUGUCAUUUGGCAUGCAGUUCGUUAAUAGUUAAGAAAUAAAAGAGGUGUGGGUAUGUGUACAUUACACAAAAUCCGACCAACUAUUGUAAAGCAAGGCUUUUUGUUUUUUAAUAGUGUUAUAUGUAUUUACGACCUGUGCAGUGGAAAUCAUUCCCGCCACCGUGUUCGUCAGUUCCUGAAAAACACAAUGGCGAAGAUAAAACUCCCAGAAAUGUUAUUGCACAAAACUGGAGUGUGGUGGAAUAAUAGAGAUAACAAGGUGUAGAGCUGGAUGAACACAGCAGGCCAAGCAGCAUCAGAGGAGCAGGAAAGCUGAUGUUUCGGGCCUAGACCCUUCGUCAGAAAAUAAUCUCCAGUCGCCAGAAUGAAUGCAGCUCCAACAACACUCAAGAAACUUGUGUUGCCCAUCUCUCUGAUACAACAGUACAUGUAUAGACAAAGAUACAGAGGAGACAAUAGAGCUCCAUAAAACGCAAUUAAUAUACGAA